GGCCUCUUGGUCUAGAGGUAUGAUUCUCGCUUUGGGUUCCUCUCUCCUGCGAUAGAAGAGAGAGAAAAACAGAAUGCGAGAGGCCCCGGGUUCGAAUCCCGGAGAGGCCC